AUGUUGGGGUUGAUGGAAGCCCCACCUAGGCAUGCCCUCACAGCGGAGAAAACCAGCGAUCCAUCUGGCAUUACCUUCGCUUAUCGUGGUGCAGGCUUGUUGGGUAGUACAUCACAAGAGGUUCACACCCUCGCCAAGCAGGUCAACACUUUCCGAAAGAAUUAUUUCCAGGACAAGACCAUCUCAGAGAAGCAAUUGAGUCACUCUGUAGCGCUUGUGGCCAUCUCCGGCAACGGCUAUGCAAGCACAAGCGGGAUUGGACAAAGUAGCCUGAAUCUCAUAUUGGUAUCCACCAAUCUCUCACCUAAGCUUGCAACUACACUUUUGUAG
rnacentral:rRNA from 1 species